GACUACUGGGGUAUCUAAUCCUGUUUGCUACCCACGCUUUCGCGUCUCAGCGUCAAUAUCGGUCCAGGUAGCCGCCUUCGCCACCGGUGUUCCUCCUGAUAUCUACGGAUUUCACUCCUACACCAGGAAUUCCACUACCCUCUCCCGUAUUCAAGUCUGCCAGUUUCCAAUGCACUUCCUGGGUUGAGCCCAGGGCUUUCACAUCAGACUUAACAAACCGCCUACACGCGCUUUACGCCCAAUAAUUCCGAACAACGCUUGCACCCCCCGUAUUACCGCGGCUGCUGGCACGGAGUUAGCCGGUGCUUCCUUUAGGGGUACCGUCAAGUAUCAUGGAUAUUAGCCACGUUACAUUUCUUCCCCCUUGACAGAGCUUUACGACCCGAAGGCCUUCAUCACUCACGCGGCGUUGCUGCGUCAGGCUUUCGCCCAUUGCGCAAAAUUCCCCACUGCAGCCCCCCGUAGG
rnacentral:rRNA from 1 species